UACAUGCAAGUCGAACGGUCUUUCUAUGGAAGCUUGCUCCACUGAGAAGAUAGUGGCGAACGGGUGAGUAACACGUGGGUAACCUGCCCAUAAGAGGGGGGAUAACAUCCGGAAACGGGUGCUAAUACCGCAUAGUUUCUUGAUCGCAUGAUCGGGAAAGGAAAGACGGCCUUUGUGCUGUCGCUUAUGGAUGGACCCGCGGCGUAUUAGUUAGUUGGUGAGGUAACGGCUCACCAAGACGAUGAUACGUAGCCGACCUGAGAGGGUGAUCGGCCACAUUGGGACUGAGACACGGCCCAAACUCCUACGGGAGGCAGCAGUAGGGAAUCUUCCGCAAUGGACGAAAGUCUGACGGAGCAACGCCGCGUGAGUGAAGAAAAGGUUUUCGGAUCGUAAAACUCUGUUGUCAGAGAAGAACAAGUUGGAGAGUAACUGCUCCAGCCUUGACGGUAUCUGACCAGAAAGCCACGGCUAACUACGUGCCAGCCGCCGC
rnacentral:rRNA from 1 species